rnacentral:tRNA from 1 species
UAGCUCAGUGGUAGAGCGCUUGUCUAGCAUGCGUGAGGCCCUGGGUUUGAAACCCAG